rnacentral:rRNA from 1 species
CCUACGGGUGGCAGCAGUAGGGAAUAUUGCUCAAUGGGGGAAACCCUGAAGCAGCAACGCCGCGUGGAGGAUGAAGGUUUUCGGAUUGUAAACUCCUUUUGUUAGAGAAGAUAAUGACGGUAUCUAACGAAUAAGCACCGGCUAACUCCGUGCCAGCAGCCGCGGUAAUACGGAGGGUGCAAGCGUUACUCGGAAUCACUGGGCGGAAAGAGCGCGUAGGCGGGAUAGCAAGUCAGAUGUGAAAUCCUAUGGCUUAACCAUAGAACUGCAUUUGAAACUGUUAUUCUAGAGUAUGGGAGAGGUAGGUGGAAUUCUUGGUGUAGGGGUAAAAUCCGUAGAGAUCAAGAGGAAUACUCAUUGCGAAGGCGACCUGCUAGAACAUAACUGACGCUGAUGCGCGAAAGCGUGGGGAGCGAACAGGAUUAGAUACCCCAGUAGUC